UACGGAGGGUGCAAGCGUUAUCCGGAUUCACUGGGUUUAAAGGGUGCGUAGGUGGGCAAGUAAGUCAGUGGUGAAAUCUCCGGGCUUAACCCGGAAACUGCCAUUGAUACUAUUUGUCUUGAAUACUGUGGAGGUCAGCGGAAUAUGUCAUGUAGCGGUGAAAUGCUUAGAUAUGACAUAGAACACCAAUUGCGAAGGCAGCUGGCUACACAAAUAUUGACACUGAGGCACGAAAGCGUGGGUAGCAAACAGG
rnacentral:rRNA from 1 species